rnacentral:tRNA from 1 species
GGAGUCGUAGCAUAAUGGCAGUGCACCUGCCUGUCACGCAGGAUUAUACGGGUUCAAAUCCCGUCGGCUCCGCCA